rnacentral:rRNA from 1 species
UAUUAUUAAAGAUGUAAAGUUUUUAUUCUUGAGUAGUAUUAGUUGCGGUCUUGAAACUUAAAGAAUUUGGCGGUAUCUUAGUCCGUUUAGAGGAAUCUGUUCCGUGAUCGAUAAUCCGCGCUGAAACUUACUUAGUUAAGGUUUAUAUACCGCCGUUUUAUUGAAAAUCUUUUUAGGGUUAUAAAUUUUCUUUCUUUUAAUUAGAUUAUAUUUCAGGUCAAGGUUUAAUUUAUAAUUAAGUGGAAAUGGAUUACAAUAAUUUUUGAUUAUACGAAUAGUCAGUUGUAAUAUUGAUAUGAAGGUGGAUUUAAUAGUAAUUUUAUUUAGUAUAUUGAGAUGAUUUAGGCUCUAAGAUGUGUACACAUCGCCCGUCGCUCUCGUUAUUUAAGAUGAG